ACUCCUACGGGAGGCAGCAGUGGGGAAUAUUGGACAAUGGGCGAAAGCCUGAUCCAACAAUGCCGCGUGAGUGAUGAAGGCCUUAGGGUUGUAAAGCUCUUUUACCCGGGAUGAUAAUGACAGUACCGGGAGAAUAAGCCCCGGCUAACUCCGUGCCAGCAGCCGCGGUAAU
rnacentral:rRNA from 1 species